rnacentral:lncRNA from 1 species
UUACUUUAAGCUGUUCCAUUUUGGCCAUGAAGAUGCACUUCCUUCUUUCCGCUCUUCUCUUCUUUGUUUUGUUCUCUUCCUCAGUUUCUCUAAAACUCAUGUCCUAUGUGGUUUGUGAAACUUUCUCUAAAAACUGUACUGCUUUUAAUGAAACAACAUGUAUUAAUGGUGAAAAGAUCUGCGUUUUGCAUCUUAAAAACUGCUGUAAGACCGAAGUAUAAAAGGUCAACUCUUGGGAAAAGAAGAACUGCAGAGGUUGUUGAAUACUAUACUGAACUGUUGAGAAUUGUGAACAAAGUUAAAACUCUCAGAAUUUUUGAAACUGACCUUCCUUAUGCACAGCUGCUAUACGAAACCUAUUAUCACUUAGCAGUAGCUUAUCAAAGCUUGAAUCUCCAUAAGAAGGCCAUAGAACAAUUAAAUCUUGCAACAGAAAUUGCAUCAAUCCCUAAGAAUGGUUGUGAAGUUGGAUGUAAUUAUGAAACUUUCUAUCACACUCCAAUAUUUUCAAGAAGAGCAUUUUCUCACGUAGUCCGUGGUAAGAAGAAAGAAGCUCUACAGGAUGCUAACAAAGCUAUUAAUUUGGACAGAUUGAACCCAGAUGUGUACUGUGUCAGAGCUUUGAUCAUAAGAGGGGCAAUUACCAAUUCUCUUCAUCCUAAAACUGAAAAGAACCAUGAGAAUAAAGAUCAUGAGAAGGCUUAUAAAAUAUGCCCGAAGAGCCAGUUUUUCUUGGAUGUAACUAACUUUAAGAAUCCUAAAAUGGCAGAGUUCUAUGAUAAGAAAGUAAUAAGAGGAAGGCUUCAAGAACAUUGAGUAAAUGAAGAGUUUAUAGGAAAACAUAAAUAAGACUCAAAACAAAUGAAAAGGGAUAGAGGAGUUGUGACCUGUGUCAAUG